rnacentral:rRNA from 1 species
CGGAGAGUUUGAUCCUGGCUCAGGAUGAACGCUGGCGGCGUGCCUAAUACAUGCAAGUCGAACGCUUUGUGGUUCAACUGAUUUGAAGAGCUUGCUCAGAUAUGACGAUGGACAUUGCAAAGAGUGGCGAACGGGUGAGUAACACGUGGGAAACCUACCUCUUAGCAGGGAAUAACAUUUGGAAACAGAUGCUAAUACCGUAUAACAAUAGCAACCGCAUGGUUGCUACUUAAAAGAUGGUUCUGCUAUCACUAAGAGAUGGUUCCGCGGUGCAUUAGUUAGUUGGUGAGGUAAUGGCUCACCAAGACGAUGAUGCAUAGCCGAGUUGAGAGACUGAUCGGCCACAAUGGGACUGAGACACGGCCCAUACUCCUACGGGAGGCAGCAGUAGGGAAUCUUCCACAAUGGGCGAAAGCCUGAUGGAGCAACGCCGCGUGUGUGAUGAAGGGUUUCGGCUCGUAAAACACUGUUGUAAGAGAAGAAUGACAUUGAGAGUAACUGUUCAAUGUGUGACGGUAUCUUACCAGAAAGGAACGGCUAAAUACGUGCCAGCAGCCGCGGUAAUACGUAUGUUCCAAGCGUUAUCCGGAUUUAUUGGGCGUAAAGCGAGCGCAGACGGUUAUUUAAGUCUGAAGUGAAAGCCCUCAGCUCAACUGAGGAAUUGCUUUGGAAACUGGAUGACUUGAGUGCAGUAGAGGAAAGUGGAACUCCAUGUGUAGCGGUGAAAUGCGUAGAUAUAUGGAAGAACACCAGUGGCGAAGGCGGCUUUCUGGACUGUAACUGACGUUGAGGCUCGAAAGUGUGGGUAGCAAACAGGAUUAGAUACCCUGGUAGUCCACACCGUAAACGAUGAGUGC